GAAAAUCCUCUUCCUUCAUUAAUAAAAUCCUCUCCUAGUGGAUAUCCAUCAUACUCCCCGAGUUGGAGAGAAUUCGUCCACGAAUUCAGUACUCCUGCAUAAAACAAAGUCAGUUUGCUAUUAUAUAAGAGAAGACAAGAAGAAAUGGGCAAACAUGACUUAUCACUUUGAAAUGGUGGGAGUUCAAAAAAAGAUGGUCUAUACACAGACCAUGUUGGAAAAGAUUGUUUAGGAAUGAUAUUAUUUGGUAAAAUAGGAGAUAUGAAAAAAUCAUCCUUAACAUUCUUUAUCCAAUAUGGUGUGGAAGUAGGAACCUUAGGUAAUGAAAAUG
rnacentral:lncRNA from 1 species